rnacentral:rRNA from 1 species
UACAUGGGGUGCAAACGUUGCUCGGAAUUAUUGGGCGUAAAGCGCACGUAGGCGGAUCGUUAAGUCGGGGGGUGAAAUCCUGGAGCUCAACUCCAGAACUGCCUUCGAUACUGGCGAUCUUGAGUCCGGAAGAGGUGAGUGGAACUCCUAGUGUAGAGGUGGAAUUCGUAGAUAUUAGGAAGAACACCAGUGGCGAAGGCGGCUCACUGGUCCGGUACUGACGCUGAGGUGCGAAAGCAUGGGGAGCGAACAGG